rnacentral:rRNA from 1 species
GACGAACGCUGGCGGCGUGCUUAACACAUGCAAGUCGAACGGAAAGGCCCUGCUUUUGUGGGGUGCUCGAGUGGCGAACGGGUGAGUAACACGUGAGUAACCUUCCCUUGACUUUGGGAUAACUUCAGGAAACUGGGGCUAAUACCGGAUAGGAGCUCCUGCUGCAUGGUGGGGGUUGGAAAUUUUCGGCGGUUGGGGAUGGACUCGCGGCUUAUCAGCUUGUUGGUGGGGUAGUGGCUUACCAAGGCUUUGACGGGUAGCCGGCCUGAGAGGGUGACCGGCAACAUUGGGACUGAGAUACGGCCAAGACUCCUACGGGAGGCAGCAGUGGGGAAUAUUGCACAAUGGGCGGAAGCCUGAUGCAGCAACGCCGCGUGCGGGAUGACGGCCUUCGGGUUGUAAACCGCUUUCGCCUGUGACGAAGCGUGAGUGACGGUAAUGGGUAAAGAAGCACCGGCUAACUACGUG